rnacentral:misc_RNA from 1 species
GAAUCCCAAUUCUAUUUACACUCUCUUAGCAAAAUCCAAUUGCCAUUUUCAUUCAUUUCAUUGGCUGAAUCCGAACAUUCCUCCGCCGCCGUGUUGCUGCGUCGAGUAACGAAACGCCGGCGGCGGUGGGUAAUCCACCUGGCAAAAUGGCGAUGUAAUUGAAGGAACGUAGAGAUCGGCGAUGGUGUUGUUGUUGUUGUUGUUAUUGUAAGAGUAUCAUUAUCCAAUAAGGUUAUAAGGGCAAUAAAUGAUAUCUUCUAUAUAAUAUAUAAUAUGCAUAAAAGUAAGAAUAAGG